AGAAAGCAGAAGAAGAAUGGUCAACACACUCAAAGCAGAAGAAGAAUGGUCAAUACACUUUGCUUUUUUUUUUCUUCUUCUUCUUCUUCUUU
rnacentral:ribozyme from 1 species